rnacentral:rRNA from 1 species
UGCAAGUCGAACGAAGUUCUGAUUUAUUUGAAAAGGUGCUCUGCAUUCUUGAUUUAAUUUUGAACGAGUGGCGGACGGGUGAGUAACACGUGGGUAACCUGCCCUUAAGUGGGGGAUAACAUUUGGAAACAGAUGCUAAUACCGCAUAAAUCCAAGAACCGCAUGGUUCUUGGCUGAAAGAUGGCGUAAGCUAUCGCUUUUGGAUGGACCCGCGGCGUAUUAGCUAGUUGGUGAGGUAACGGCUCACCAAGGCAAUGAUACGUAGCCGAACUGAGAGGUUGAUCGGCCACAUUGGGACUGAGACACGGCCCAAACUCCUACGGGAGGCAGCAGUAGGGAAUCUUCCACAAUGGACGCAAGUCUGAUGGAGCAACGCCGCGUGAGUGAAGAAGGCUUUCGGGUCGUAAAACUCUGUUGUUGGAGAAGAAUGGUCGGCAGAGUAACUGUUGUCGGCGUGACGGUAUCCAACCAGAAAGCCACGGCUAACUACGUGCCAGCAGCCGCGGUAAUACGUAGGUGGCAAGCGUUAUCCGGAUUUAUUGGGCGUAAAGCGAGCGCAGGCGGUUUUUUAAGUCUGAUGUGAAAGCCCUCGGCUUAACCGAGGAAGUGCAUCGGAAACUGGGAAACUUGAGUGCAGAAGAGGACAGUGGAACUCCAUGUGUAGCGGUGAAAUGCGUAGAUAUAUGGAAGAACACCAGUGGCGAAGGCGGCUGUCUGGUCUGUAACUGACGCUGAGGCUCGAAAGCAUGGGUAGCGAACAGGAUUAGAUACCCUGGUAGUCCAUGCCGUAAACGAUGAAUGCUAGGUGUUGGAGGGUUUCCGCCCUUCAGUGCCGCAGCUAACGCAUUAAGCAUUCCGCCUGGGGAGUACGACCGCAAGGUUGAAACUCAAAGGAAUUGACGGGGGCCCGCACAAGCGGUGGAGCAUGUGGUUUAAUUCGAAGCAACGCGAAGAACCUUACCAGGUCUUGACAUCUUUUGAUCACCUGAGAGAUCAGGUUUCCCCUUCGGGGGCAAAAUGACAGGUGGUGCAUGGUUGUCGUCAGCUCGUGUCGUGAGAUGUUGGGUUAAGUCCCGCAACGAGCGCAACCCUUAUGACUAGUUGCCAGCAUUUAGUUGGGCACUCUAGUAAGACUGCCGGUGACAAACCGGAGGAAGGUGGGGAUGACGUCAAAUCAUCAUGCCCCUUAUGACCUGGGCUACACACGUGCUACAAUGGAUGGUACAACGAGUUGCGAGACCGCGAGGUCAAGCUAAUCUCUUAAAGCCAUUCUCAGUUCGGACUGUAGGCUGCAACUCGCCUACACGAAGUCGGAAUCGCUAGUAAUCGCGGAUCAGCACGCCGCGGUGAAUACGUUCCCGGGCCUUGUACACACCGCCCGUCACACCAUGAGAGUUUGUAACACCCGAAGCCGGUGGCGUAACCCUUUUAGGGAGCGAGCCG